CGGGGUGUGGCGCAGGUGGAAGCGCGCGGCGUUUGGGACGCCGAGGUCGUAGGUUCAAGUCCUAUCACCCCGA
rnacentral:tRNA from 3 species